CAGAGGUUACUGCUAUSGAASRYUCGACUAAGCCAUGCGAGUUGAAUGUUCUUCGUGAACAUGGCGGACUGCUCAGUAACACGUGGACAACCUACCCUUGGGUCCGGCAUAAUCCUGGGAAACUGGGAAUAAUUCCGGAUAGGUCACCGAUGCUGGAAUGCGCGGUGGCCGAAAGCUCCGGCGCCCGAGGAUGGGUCUGCGGCCUAUCAGGGUUGUAGUGGGUGUAACGUACCUACUAGCCUACGACGGGUACGGGUUGUGAGAGCAAGAGCCCGGAGAUGGAUUCUGAGACACGAAUCCAGGCCCUACGGGGUGCAGCAGGCGCGAAAACUUUACAAUGCGGGAAACCGUGAUAAGGGGAUCUCGAGUGCCAGCAUAUAAUGUUGGCUGUCCAGAUGCCUAAAAAGCAUCUGUUAGCAAGGGCCGGGCAAGACCGGUGCCAGCCGCCGCGGUAACACCGGCGGCCCGAGUGGUAACCGCUAUUAUUGGGUCUAAAGGGUCUGUAGCCGGCCAGGUAAGUCCCUUGGGAAAUCUGGCAGCUCAACUGUCAGGCUGCUAGGGGAUACUGUUUGGCUUGGGACCGGGAGAGGUGAGAGGUACCUUGGGGGUAGGGGUGAAAUCUUGUGAUCCUCGAGGGACCACCAGUGGCGAAGGCGUCUCACCAGAACGGGUCCGACGGUAAGGGACGAAAGCUAGGGGCACGAACCGGAUUAGAUACCCGGGUAGUCCUAGCCGUAAACGAUGCUCGCUAGGUGUCAGUCACGGUGCGACCGUGAUUGGUGCCGUAGGGAAGCCGUGAAGCGAGCCACCUGGGAAGUAUGGCCGCAAGGCUGAAACUUAAAGGAAUUGGCGGGGSAGCACURCAMCGGGUGGAGCCUGCGGUUUAUUG
rnacentral:rRNA from 1 species